AAAUUGAAGAGUUUGAUCAUGGCUCAGAUUGAACGCUGGCGGCAGGCCUAACACAUGCAAGUCGAACGGUAACAGGAAGCAGCUUGCUGCUUCGCUGACGAGUGGCGGACGGGUGAGUAAUGUCUGGGAAACUGCCUGAUGGAGGGGGAUAACUACUGGAAACGGUGGCUAAUACCGCAUAACGUCGCAAGACCAAAGAGGGGGACCUUCGGGCCUCUUGCCAUCAGAUGUGCCCAGAUGGGAUUAGCUUGUUGGUGAGGUAACGGCUCACCAAGGCGACGAUCCCUAGCUGGUCUGAGAGGAUGACCAGCCACACUGGAACUGAGACACGGUCCAGACUCCUACGGGAGGCAGCAGUGGGGAAUAUUGCACAAUGGGCGCAAGCCUGAUGCAGCCAUGCCGCGUGUAUGAAGAAGGCCUUCGGGUUGUAAAGUACUUUCAGCGGGGAGGAAGGUGUUGUGGUUAAUAACCACAGCAAUUGACGUUACCCGCAGAAGAAGCACCGGCUAACUCCGUGCCAGCAGCCGCGGUAAUACGGAGGGUGCAAGCGUUAAUCGGAAUUACUGGGCGUAAAGCGCACGCAGGCGGUCUGUCAAGUCGGAUGUGAAAUCCCCGGGCUCAACCUGGGAACUGCAUUCGAAACUGGCAGGCUUGAGUCUUGUAGAGGGGGGUAGAAUUCCAGGUGUAGCGGUGAAAUGCGUAGAGAUCUGGAGGAAUACCGGUGGCGAAGGCGGCCCCCUGGACAAAGACUGACGCUCAGGUGCGAAAGCGUGGGGAGCAAACAGGAUUAGAUACCCUGGUAGUCCACGCCGUAAACGAUGUCUACUUGGAGGUUGUGCCCUUGAGGCGUGGCUUCCGGAGCUAACGCGUUAAGUAGACCGCCUGGGGAGUACGGCCGCAAGGUUAAAACUCAAAUGAAUUGACGGGGGCCCGCACAAGCGGUGGAGCAUGUGGUUUAAUUCGAUGCAACGCGAAGAACCUUACCUGGUCUUGACAUCCACAGAAGAAUCCAGAGAUGGAUUUGUGCCUUCGGGAACUGUGAGACAGGUGCUGCAUGGCUGUCGUCAGCUCGUGUUGUGAAAUGUUGGGUUAAGUCCCGCAACGAGCGCAACCCUUAUCCUUU
rnacentral:rRNA from 1 species